UUUCCGUAGGUGAACCUGCGGAAGGAUCAUUGUCGAAACCUGCACAGCAGAACGACCCGCGAAUUGGUUACAACCGACGGGGGGUGGGGGGCGCUCGUCGCCCCAUCGCCCCCCCUUGCGGGCGGGGACCUCGCGUCUCUUGCCAGCAAACCGAACCCCGACGUGGAACGCGCCAAGGAAAUCGAACCAAGAGAGCCAUGCCGGAGGCCCCGGACACGGUGCGCCCCCGGCGUCGGCGUCUUACGAAUUAUUCAAAACGACUCUCGGCAACGGAUAUCUAGGCUCUCGCAUCGAUGAAGAACGCAGC
rnacentral:misc_RNA from 1 species